rnacentral:rRNA from 1 species
UCCUACGGGAGGCAGCAGUGGGGAAUAUUGCACAAUGGAUGGAGCCCUGAUGCAGCGACGCCGCGUGAGGGAUGACGGCCUUCGGUUGUAAACCUCUUUCAGCAGGGACGAAGCGAGAGUGACGGUACCUGCAGAAGAAGCACCGGCCAACUACAUGCCAGCAGCCGUGGUAAGACGUAGGGUGCGAGCGUUGUCCGGAUUUAUUGGGCGUAAAGAGCUCGUAGGCGGCUUGUCGCGUCGACCGUGAAAACUUGGGGCUCAACCCCAAGCCUGCGGUCGAUACGGGCAGGCUAGGGUUCGGUAGGGAGACUGGAAUUCCUGGUGUAGCGGUGAAAUGCGCAGA